UAAUGAACUUGAAGUUUGUUAUUCAUAUUACGAGAACAAAAGAUAAUAGAGUUCUAAGAUAAAAGAAUUCUUCACAAAAAAAUGGCAAAACACAUUUUCCAGUACUGUCUCUUAGGAAUUUUAUGCAUUGCGUUGGUUCUAGCUUCAGGACCAACACCAGGUUUGAGUGAAUGCGAUUUUCCUACGCUUUGUGAUACCAUUGCUAUCUGCGACGCAAAUUGCCGCAAAAUUGGGUUUCACAAAGGAAUGUGUACUCAAAUUGGGUUAGUAACAACUUGUUGCUGUAUGUAAUGAAAUAAAUUACAUUAUUAUAAAUAUUUAUAUAUAUUUUACUAAAGACAGCAUCAACUAAAUAAGAAACAUCUCUCUCCAAAGCUUUGAUUUAUAUAUAUAUCAAGUAUGUAUACUUUGUGAUUCUUGGUAGAAGAAUAAAUGGAGAACUUGAAAUUAUGUGGCCAAGCUCAAUAUGAAAUAAAGAAAGAGAUAGACUUGUGCAACUUUACUAUAUAUGUAAGACAUGUGUAUCUGUAAACCAGAUCAGUUCAUAAGCAAUGAAGAAUUUACUAUUUUGCAACAUUA